rnacentral:rRNA from 1 species
AGUGAACGCUGGCGGCGUGGAUUAGGCAUGCAAGUCGAACGAUCUAGCAAUAGAUAGUGGCAAAAGGGUGAGUAACGCGUGAGCAAUCUACCUCCGAGCGGGGAACAACCUUGGGAAACCGAGGCUAAAACCGCAUAAGACCACGACAGGGUAUCCUGUUGAGGUAAAAAGUGGGGACCGUAAGGCCCAUUACUUGGAGAUGAGCUCGCGUCCUAUCAGCUUGUUGGUGAGGUAACGGCCCACCAAGGCUUUUGACGGGUAGCUGGUCUGAGAGGAUGGUCAGCCACAUUGGGACUGAGACACUGCCCAGACUCCUACGGGUGGCUG